AUUGAACGCUGGCGGCAGGCUUAACACAUGCAAGUCGAGCGGAGAUGAGGUGCUUGCACCUUAUCUUAGCGGCGGACGGGUGAGUAAUGCUUAGGAAUCUGCCUAUUAGUGGGGGACAACAUUCCGAAAGGAAUGCUAAUACCGCAUACGUCCUACGGGAGAAAGCAGGGGAUCUUCGGACCUUGCGCUAAUAGAUGAGCCUAAGUCGGAUUAGCUAGUUGGUGGGGUAAAGGCCUACCAAGGCGACGAUCUGUAGCGGGUCUGAGAGGAUGGUCCGCCACACUGGGACUGAGAACCGGCCCAGACUCCUACGGGAGGCAGCAGUGGGGAAUAUUGGACAAUGGGGGGAACCCUGAUCCAGCCAUGCCGCGUGUGUGAAGAAGGCCUUAUGGUUGUAAAGCACUUUAAGCGAGGAGGAGGCUACUGAGACUAAUACUCUUGGAUAGUGGACGUUACUCGCAGAAUAAGCACCGGCUAACUCUGUGCCAGCAGCCGCCGUAA
rnacentral:rRNA from 1 species